rnacentral:rRNA from 1 species
UACGUAGGGUGCAGGCGUUAAUCGGAAUUACUGGGCGUAAAGCGUGCGCAGGCGGUUUCUUAAGUCAGAUGUGAAAGCCCCGGGCUUAACCUGGGAACUGCGUUUGAAACUGGGAGACUUGAGUGUGGCAGAGGGGGGUGGAAUUCCACGUGUAGCAGUGAAAUGCGUAGAUAUGUGGAGGAACACCGAUGGCGAAGGCAGCCCCCUGGGUUAACACUGACGCUCAUGCACGAAAGCGUGGGGAGCAAACCGG